rnacentral:rRNA from 1 species
GGGCGUAAGAGCUCGUAGGCGGUUCAGGUAGUCGGGUGUGAAAACUCUGGGCUUAACCCAGAGACGCCACCCGAUACUCCUGUGACUAGAGUUCGGUAGGGGAGCGGGGAAUUCCUAGUGUAGCGGUGAAAUGCGCAGAUAUUAGGAGGAACACCGGUGGCGAAGGCGCCGCUCUGGGCCGAUACUGACGCUGAGGAGCGAAAGCGUGGGUAGCAAACAGGAUUAGAUACCCUGGUAGUCCACGCCGUAAACGGUGGGCACUAGGUGUGGGUUCCAACCAACGGAAUCCGCGCCGUCGCUAACGCAUUAAGUGCCCCGCCUGGGGAGUACGGCCGCAAGGUUAAAACUCAAAGGAAUUGACGGGGCCCCGCACAAGCAGCGGAGCAUGCGGCUUAAUUCGACGCAACGCGAAGAACCUUACCAAGGCUUGACAUAUACCGGAAUAUGGCAGAGAUGUCAUAGCUGUAAAAGGUCGGUAUACAGGUGGUGCAUGGUUGUCGUCAGCUCGUGUCGUGAGAUGUUGGGUUAAGUCCCGCAACGAGCGCAACCCUCGUUCUGUGUUGCCAGCAUUUAGUUGGGGACUCACAGGAGACUGCCGGGGUCAACUCGGAGGAAGGUAAU